rnacentral:lncRNA from 1 species
AGAACUCUGGGUUCUCUGGAAGUGGUGGGAGGAAACCCGCAGGAGGGAAGAGGCCAUCUCUCCUUUAACUCCUAGGGGAACAGACCGCAGGGGCUGAGGGUGCUAGCCCUUUCUGAAGCUGAGAGGGAGCCGGAAAGGAAGGGACUCAGGGGAUCUCAUGGGAGCCAGAAGGGCCCAGACUUAGGAUCCGAAAUUGUGCCUAUGAGAGUGAGUCAGUGUCUUGGUCUGUCACCCGGGCUGGAGUGCAGUGGUGCAAUCAUAGCUCGCUGCAGCCUCGACCUCCUAGGUUUAAGUGAUCCUCCUGCCUCAGCCUCCUGAGCAGCUGGGACUACAGGUAUGCACCACGCUGUCUGGUUAAUUUUAAAAUUUUUUGUGGAGAUGAAAUCUUGCUAUGCUGCCCAGGCUGGUCUUGAACUCCCGACCUCAAGCAAUUCUCCUGCCUCGGCCUCCCAAGUUGCUUGGAUUACAGGUGUGAGCCAUUGUGUCUGGCCAGUGACUCACUUCUGAAGACAGAAUACAGGGGAAGUGAUGGUAUGUGACUUCAGAGAUCAGAUCAUAAAUGGCAUUGUAGCUUCUGCCUUGUUUUCUCUCUUGUGUCAUUCACUCUGGGGAAAGUCAGCUGACACUCGUGAGGAUGCUCAAGUGGCCUUGUGGAGAGGCCCACGUGGUGAUGGGCUGAGGCCUCUCUCCAGCAGCCUCAAGUGGGCACCAUCUUGGAAGCAGACCCUUUCAACCCAGGCAAGCCUUUGGAGGACUGUAGUCCUGGCUGACGUCUUGACUGCAAUCUCAUGGGAAUCCCUGAGCCAGAACCAUUCAACUAAGUCACUCUUAAUUAUAAUUCUUGACCUGCAGAAACAGAGAAAAAAAAUAAAAGUUUAUUGUUUUAGGCAGCUAAGUUUUGGGGCAGUUUGUUACACAGCAAUUGAUAAUGAAUACACAUACCACCCUAAAAUAUAAUCUUUCAGAGUCAAUGACAUCCACAAACUCGAGUAUAGUGGGAGAAUAUGAAUGAAAAGAAUAGAAGGUGUAGCAACAUAUUCCUUCUAAGGAAGAGUAAGGCUGGAGGGGUAGGAAAAUUACUCUCCACUAAUCCUUUCUGUUUAUGGAGACUGGUGGGGAAUGGAGAAAAGAAAGAUGCAAGCUUCAAGGCGCCUGGCAGUUUUUCACUCCGCUGAUGCUUACAGCCUAGAGUAGAUGGCUUUUGUCUUAGCAGAGCUCAGGAAGCAGACCUGAUACUGAGGAAUGGUGGAGAAACAGGACUGAGCAACUUUUAAGAAUCAUGUGUCUAAUGUGUAAUAAUAUCAUUUGUGUUGGUGUGUGACAAAACUCUCCUGGUAACUUCUAAGCCUCCUGUGAAGUCCACUGCACACACAGAGGCCUUGAGGAGCCCUAAAAAGGGGGUCAGGUUUCCAGCAUGGGUCCAUGCUGAACUGGGGGUGGGGAUUGAGUAAGGAGAGGCCCAUGUGAGGCUGGGGGCUGAGUGGAAGCUGGAGCUCAGAGCCAGAGAGAGCAGGGAGCUCCUUAUGCAGCCGCAUGGGUCAGGGGAGGUCAGGACACAGAAGCCAUUCUGCAUCUUGACAGCCUCAACCUGAAUCCUGGGUGUGGGGGAAGAAGUGACAGGCAUGGGAGUUCUUAGAAGUCGGCCAUGCACCUGCAUCUGAUGAAGCGCCACGUCCGUUCUUACUAACCCCUGAGAACAAUCACUUCUGCUUCCCUUCUGCCUUCCAAGUCCUGUGCAAGAUCCUCUUGUUGGCAAACUCUAACCUGGGAGCAUGAGGAAGAGGACUGCGGGGAACGGUUUCCAGCCCUACGUAGACAUGGUGGUGGUGACGUGUUGACACAUGGGGGCUCCGCUUCGGACUUCGCAAUGAAUAAGGCCAGGGAACUGCAGCUGAUGGCUGGGUCAUCCGAGAGACCUUCAAUCUUUACUUUCUAUAAUGACAGAGCAAACCAUUCUAUUUGCUAUUUACUUUCCUGAUGGUAUCUUCAAGAAACUUCUGGAAAUAGGUCUUUGUGUCAACCAGAAACUGCUGGUCAGAGGAUAAGUUCUGGAGUUUUCUUGUAGAGCAUGGAGACUGCAGUUAAUAAUAACAUAUCAUAUACUUGAAGAUUGCUGAGAGUAGAUUCUAAACAUUAUUAUUUAUUUAUUUUCUUAGUUUUUUCGCCCCACUUCAAUAAGCUAGUCGAAGACAGUAGAUUUUAAAUGUUCUCACCACAAAAAAUGGUUAAGUAUGUGGGAUGAUAAAUAUGUUUGAUUUACUCAUUCCACAGUGUGUACGUAUAUCAAAGUAUCAUGUUGUAAACUAUAAAUAAAUAUCAUUUCUUAUUUGUCAAUUAAAAG